CCAUCUCUCAAAACACCUUCCUUUGAAGAUUCAGGUUCUUCAGACUGAGGAGCCUCUGAAUCGUGACUAGCUUGAUAGAAGACUUUACAUUAAAAAGUAACUGAGAGAUGGUCUAUUCACCUUGCAUGACUGUGCUAUCUUUAAUCAUCAAUCUUUGAAGUGCACACUGGGUCAUUCGUAAGCAAGAUUACAGAGAAUAAAAUAGAAUUUUGAUACCACUGUAUUCGCCAUGUCAUUACAAAGUCUGUAUCCACUGUCAGGCCCAGAAACAAGACAGUAAUAUACUGUCUGCACAUUUUGAGAUGAGAAAUGCAAUGAUUGUGUUGUUUUUAAACUAGUUGCUGGAACUUUUUUUUUUUUUUUUCUGGUAGCUUUUUCCUUCAGUUAGAAACCAUUUUCCAAACAAUAUUCUUAGGCUACAAAAAUGAAUGUUUUUGUGGGUGGACUUUUACUGGAUGCUAGUUAUUUAUAACCUAUUGAAGUUUUACAUUUAAGAAGGAAAAAUGAUAGAAUGAGGAGGAAAGUAGACAUAAAAUUUCAUGUCAAUGGAAUAGAUUAUUAUUCCGUUAGAUACAAUAGAUUAUUAUUCCAUUAGAUGUAAUGGAAACCUCAGAAAACAGCUGCAAAUAAGCAUCUGACUUAUUUUCCCAAUACUACAUAUGUUUAUCAUUCCCUAAAUCAUCAGUUGUUGCAUUUUGAUUAAAUUGGUUUGUUGAACACAUGUAUUUUUAAAUUUUCUGCAAAAAACAAAUUCCUAUCAUGAACACAAAGUAGGGG
rnacentral:lncRNA from 1 species